AGUCAAUAGAUACCCUGGUAGUCCAUGCCGUAAACGAUGAUUGCUAGGUGUGGGGGGUCUGACCCCUUCCGUGCCGGAGUUAAACACAAUAAGCAAUCCACCUGGGGAGUACGGCCGCAAGGUUGAAACUCAAAGGAAUUGACGGGGGCCCGCACAAGCAGUGGAGUAUGUGGUUUAAAUUCGAAGCAACGCGAAGAACCUUACCAGGUCUUGACAUCCACCGAAUCCUGUAGAGAUACGGGAGUGCCCUUCGGGGAACGGUGAGACAGGUGGUGCAUGGUUGUCGUCAGCUCGUGUCGUGAGAUGUUGGGUUAAGUCCCGCAACGAGCGCAACCCUUGUGAAUAGUUGCUACGAGAGAGCACUCUAUUCAGACCGCCGUUGACAAAACGGAGGAAGGUGGGGAUGACGUCAAAUCAUCAUGCCCCUUAUGACCUGGGCUACACACGUACUACAAUGGCCGUUAACAGAGGGAUGCAAUGCCGCGAGGUGGAGCGAACCCCUAAAACGGUCUCAGUUCAGAUUGCAGGCUGAAACUCGCCU
rnacentral:rRNA from 1 species